rnacentral:lncRNA from 1 species
CAGAGCAUGACCUGGGAAAUUCCAAUCUUUCCUCUCCCUCUGGAGUGCUGCUCUCUUUAAGGUCAGCUGAGGGAAAAAGUGAAUUGGCUCUUCCAGAGGGAGAUGCAGUUUCUCUCUUUCCAUUUGGCAAUGGAGGGAGAAGUCUGGACAGCUCUAAGUGUCUUCAGCAUGGUGGUCCCCAGAAAGGAGGCUCUGGCACAUCUGGUUGGGCCUAUGAAGAAAACACAGUCCAUCAGGCAGGUUGCUGUAACCUGAGGAGCAAGGAUAAGCGUAAGAAAUAAUAUUAUUGGAGAGUCCAACAGUACAAACGAACACUCGGAAGAAACUCUCCGGUGUGUAAAUGGAGCAUACACACAGAAUUUUCAGAAGUGUCGAGACCUGACCCAAAGAAUGUAUUUACUGGCUUAACAAUUACAAGUACGUGUGGUUCUGUAUGCCUUUGGCUUUCUUUUCCUCUGAACAGUGAGGAAGUGUCAAGA